rnacentral:rRNA from 1 species
GCUUAACGCGAAGAACCUUACCAAGGCUUGACAUCCCUGGAAGGUCUCCGAAAGGAGACUGUGCCUUCGGGAAUCAGGUGACAGGUGCUGCAUGGCCGUCGUCAGCUCGUGUCGUGAGAUGUUUGGUUAAGUCCAUCAACGAGCGCAACCCUUAUAAAUAGUUGAAUUUUUCUAUUUAGACCGCCUCGGUAACGGGGAGGAAGGAGGGGAUGACGUCAGGUCAGUAUUGCCCUUAUGCUUUGGGCUACAAACACGCUACAAUGGCCGGUACAAAGGGCUGCCAACCCGCGAGGGGGAGCAAAUCCCAUCAAAACCGGUCCCAGUUCGGAUAGCAGGCUGAAACUCGCCUGCUUGAAGUCGGAAUCGCUAGUAACGGUGAGUCAGCUAUAUUACCGUGAAUACGUUCCCGGGUCUUG